UCCUGAUGUUUAGUUGGGAUCUCCUUUUUUGUAACUUGAAGCCAUUGGUUCGAGUCCUACCCUCCAGAGGAGGAGAAAACAAGUUUGUUCCAUCUUCCAUUUGACCACCCUUGAGGUAUUUGAAGAUUGCUAUCAUAUCUCCUCUCAAGUCUCCUCUUUUCCAGGCUGAACAUACCCAGCUCCUUCAAGC